UGCAACGGAGUAUACAAUGCAACAAGCCCAGUAUAUUAGAGCAUGACAACACUAAUGAGGGAGGUGAUACUUACCUCUCGAAGCUUCCUUUGUUAUUGUUAGCUUUUGUUGCUAGCCUUGCUUCUUUCCCCCUAUGGUGGCUGAAUGCAGUUGUAGAGGACGGUCGGAAAUGGGCGAGAGGCGUCCAGAGCUGGUGGUCGGGCCUGGGUUGAUGUGAUGGUGAAGGUGAUGUUUUAAGAGUGAUCUCUUUUUUCCUUUGAGAAAAGAAUUCCGUAGUUGAUUGUCAAGUGUAGUGUGUAUCGUUCCGGGUGUGUGAGCUACACUCAUAAGAAAAGAGAGCUUAGUGGUGUCCUUCCUGGCCUGCCAGAACCAAACCGUAUCUGACAGAAUCAAACGUUUCCCAGCAGCAGAAACCGUUCUCGCCUGCCAAAGAUCCAAACCGUGCCCUGCCUCCCAGCCUUCCUUGUC
rnacentral:lncRNA from 1 species